rnacentral:rRNA from 1 species
AUUGAACGCUGGCGGCAGGCUUAACACAUGCAAGUCGAACGAGUGGCGGACGGGUGAGUAAUGCUUGGGAAUAUAGCUUAUGGAGGGGGAUAACUACGGGAAACUGUAGCUAAUACCGAGUACCAUAGGAUGAGCACAAGUGGGAUUAGGUAGUUGGUGAGGUAAAGGCUCACCAAGCCGACGACCUCUAGCUGGUCUGAGAGGAUGACCCGCCACAGUGUGACUGAGACACGGCCCAGACUCCUACGGGAGGCAGAAGUAGGGAAUAUUGCGCAAUGGGGGCAACCUGACGCAGCCAUGCCGCGUGAAUGCAGGAGGCCUUCGGGUUGUAAAGUUCUUUCGGUAGCGAGGCGUUAACUACAGAAGCAGCACCGGCUAACUCCGUGCCAGCCGCCGCGGUAAUAC